UACGUAGGGUGCGAGCGUUGUCCGGAAUUAUUGGGCGUAAAGGGCUCGUAGGCGGUUUGUCGCGUCGGGAGUGAAAACCCAGGGCUUAACUCUGGGCUUGCUUUCGAUACGGGCAGACUAGAGGUAUGCAGGGGAGAACGGAAUUCCUGGUGUAGCGGUGAAAUGCGCAGAUAUCAGGAGGAACACCGGUGGCGAAGGCGGUUCUCUGGGCAUUACCUGACGCUGAGACGCGAAAGCGUGGGGAGCGAACAGG
rnacentral:rRNA from 1 species